AGGGAAAAGGGAAUAGAGACGCAGCACUACACAAAGGGUUCAGACGCAGCUGACAGGUCUGGAUGCAAUGACGAUUUAUUGAGAGAACACAGGGACUUAUAUAGGGUAAGUCUGAGGGGAGCAUUCAUAACUGGGGAGGAGCAUGGGACUGACAACUCAGGGUAAGACAGGAUUGGGAGACAAGGGAAAGGUGGGUGUAACUUCUGGGUAUCCAGGGGAAGGGACCAAUGGUAGCUCACUCUGCACUGCGGCAAACCUCAACCAAUCAGUGACAGAGGAGCGGGAAAGCAGGGGAGAACAAGGUGGUAAACAACUUUUGGCGGGAAAAUCUGAGGGACAGAGGGGAAUAAUAUUGGGGUACAUAAAACUUGAUAUAAAACCAAUGAUAAACUGGGGAUUAACAGUCAGUCCAAUAAGUUAAUAGUCCAUUUGAGCUCUGUAAAUGUCCCUCCACGCUUGAAACCUCUCCCAAUCGGUCUUCUCAUUCUCCUCACCUCCCCCCUGUUUGUAUAUUGAAGAGAU